UUGCUCAUUCAGGCAGCAUAUACUCUGAAACUGAAACAGUACAGAGAUAAGCCUGGCCCCUGUGCAAAGAUGACAUACAAAUUCAUAAAGUUCAUAAAGCAUUA